rnacentral:tRNA from 1 species
GCGCAUGUAGUGUUAAUGUAGCACGCCGGUCUCCAAAACCGUGAAGUGUCGGUUCAAGUCCGGGUAUGCGUG